rnacentral:rRNA from 1 species
GGUUAAGCGAAUAAGCGUACACGGUGGAUGCCUAGGCAGUCAGAGGCGAUGAAGGACGUGCUAAUCUGCGAUAAGCGCCGGUAAGGUGAUAUGAACCGUUAUAACCGGCGAUUUCCGAAUGGGGAAACCCAGUGCAAUUCGUUGCACUAUCAUUACCUGAAUACAUAGGGUAAUGAAGCGAACCGGGAGAACUGAAACAUCUAAGUACCCCGAGGAAAAGAAAUCAAACGAGAUUCCCCCAGUAGCGGCGAGCGAACGGGGAGCAGCCCAGGACCUUAAUCAGCAUCAGUGUUAAGAGAACAGUCUGGAAAGGCUGGCCACAGCAGGUGAUAGCCCUGUAUCUGAAAGCACUGGUGUUGUGAGUCCGAUGAGUAAGGCGGGACACGUGUUAUCCUGUCUGAAUAUGGGGGGACCAUCCUCCAAGGCUAAAUACUCCUGACUGACCGAUAGUGAACCAGUACCGUGAGGGAAAGGCGAAAAGAACCCCGGCGAGGGGAGUGAAAAAGAACCUGAAACCGUGUACGUACAAGCAGUGGGAGCACCCUUCGGGGUGUGACUGCGUACCUUUUGUAUAAUGGGUCAGCGACUUAUAUUCUGUAGCAAGGUUAACCGAAUAGGGGAGCCGCAGGGAAACCGAGUCUUAACUGGGCGAAUUAGUUGCAGGGUAUAGACCCGAAACCCGGUGAUCUAGCCAUGGGCAGGUUGAAGGUUGGGUAACACUAACUGGAGGACCGAACCGACUAAUGUUGAAAAAUUAGCGGAUGACUUGUGGC